UGUCACCUCGACAGCG
rnacentral:rRNA from 1 species